rnacentral:lncRNA from 10 species
GCGAGGGAAGAGAGGCAAGGUGGGUGGUGAUUGGCUGAGGCCGGUUGCCGGAGCCUGGAGCCUGCGUCUUUUGUCUGCCUUGCUCCUGCGAAGGAGCGGGAGACGGCUGCGCGCCCCAAGCGGGCCAAUCAGGAGACAGCCGGCGCCGGCCGGUAAGGCGGCGAUUGGUCAGAGCCCAGUUACUAAGCGGGACAAAGGCAGAAGGGGAAAAGAAAAGAGGAGGAAAAAAAAGAAAGAAAGAAAGGAAGAAAACGCAAACGGCGGUUACUGACAGGCUGGGCGAGCGCUCGGGGGCUCAAACUGCCUGGAGACAGGCGGGGCUCCUGCUGAGGCUUGGUCCGCCCGGACGAGUAAGGAGAGGAGCCAGGGAGGACCUGCUGGCGUGAGACGCCUCUGCCCGGUAGAAGAUACUGGAAGAUCAACUCUAAUUUGUGGCUGCCUUCCCAGCAGUCUCUACUUCAGCAUAUCUGGGAGCCAGAAGCACUCAAGUUUGAUAACUCAAAAGACAGAACAAUCAGUCAAGGGGUAGAGGCUACCUUCCAUUCUGCUCAUCUUACACUUCUUGGAAAGGAGACAUUCGGUGAAGAUCACUACUAUUCUCCAAACUUCAUUCGGGACCCUAUUCCUUCCCUGUUGAUGUCAGUGUGUGAAAUUCUAAAUUAUGUCAUGGGUGUAUACGUUCAAAAGCAAUAUAUUUUCAAAUAAACAAAAAAUAUAAUUGGCCAUCACAUAUACCAAAUAUGCAAUAUGAUAAUUGUGCCUAAAGUAGAUUAAUUAAAUGUUAAUGGUAAAC